rnacentral:sRNA from 1 species
AUCAGUUUGAAGGGGGGAAAAAAGUCACUUGUUAGAUGAUUAUCCAAGUACUUAAAAAAAAAAAAGGUCUUAUAGUCGUUGGAUUAAAAUGUAAGCAAACCACCUAAUCCACUACAUGAUUUCUUUCCCCUUAGCUGAAGCUUUAUGUUCUAGGCUUUGUAUAUUUAACUCCUUAUACAUGAAGUAAACCUUGACCAUCUAGAGAAAUAGGUUAGCCGUCGACCUACAUAUUUGUGGUGUGGUAGGUUUCUUAUCACUGCACUGCAAGUACUGGUAAGAGCAUGCGUAUCUCGGCACGUCCAACCACGUUAGUACAUAGCAUGUUGCCAUUGAAGGUUUUGACUGUGUUCUACGUGUUGAUGAAUUGUGCAGUUGUGGUGGCUAGUAAACUGCAAGAUUCGACAUGUACACAACUUGAUUCCUGCUCCUGUACGUUUGGAAAUGGGACACUCCUAGAUUUAUCUCCCCUGGCAUUCAAAUCCCGUCCAAGAUGUGUCAAUACCAGAACGUUGCAGACAAUUACUUCGUACUGGGCACACAGGACUCAGCUUAUUUCGUUACAGAUACAGAUGAUGACCACAUAGUCUUUCUGUUAUAUAGCCACACAGACUCCUAUGGAUUUACAAGACAUACAACAGUACAGUUGGUGUGUUCCAAUCAAACUACUGAUGACUUUAUAUUCUUAGGAGAACAUACUUUAAGAACAUAUGUUUUCAUGUUGGUUAGCCCCCACUGUUGUGCCAAGUGAGGAAUUAAGUUCCAGUUUUCCAGAUAAACUAAUAAUGUAUGCUGCAUGUAUCAGUUAUUAGAGUGUAGUUACAUUAUGACAUAAUUGAUUGAUGUUGAUGAUAUGAAGGAAUACAGGAAAUAGAAGUUAACAAAAUAAAAAGUAA